CAAUCAAAAACAUAUGAAACAUGGAUCUGAAAUUUCUAGAAAAAUUACAGUAAAUUUCUGAAAAAUUUUGCAGAGAACAAAACGGCAAGGCAGAGGCAAAUAGUGCUCUGAUACCAACUGUUAGAGCUUUAUCACGAUCUAUCAUGUGAAUAAACAACAACAUAUAGAUCAAAUGCGGAAACUGAAGAUCAUAAACUAACCUCCAGCCAUUGUCGUUUGAACUGCAGAAUUUCGAAUUGUGUUUGGUGCUUCCAAGCCUUCAAGACCUCUCUGCGAUGGUGUAGUUUCAUGAAAGUCUCGGCUUGGGGACCAAUACCACUUUAUUCCCUUUAUAUACUUCUUCCCAUCAAAGAAGUUACGA
rnacentral:lncRNA from 1 species